UCUUUCCACCUCGCGGUAGACUCCGGGGCCACCCGCAGCACGCAGAGCUUCUGGGAGCCGGUGGCAAGGCCGAAUUGGGAUGCAAACCAAACGGACGUGGGUGACUGGCAGAAAAAGCCUCCCACAAAUGGGAGGGAUUUCGGAGGGAACCGAAAGAAAGUUGGAAACCAAGUUACAGCUGAAGCCAGGGCCUUCUCCUACCCGACUCCCACGGCCCAUUAAAACCUACGUGAGCUUAUCUGAUAUCUUCAAGCCCUGUUUUGUGGCCCCAUCUCCUCUUCAGAUGGCAAUGUGCCUAGCUACACUACAUUUCCCGCCUCCCUUGCAGCUAGAGGUGGCCAAUGAGAUAUAAACAGAUACUGUAAGACAUGAUGUCUAGAUCCCUAGCAGUCAUCCCAGACCAUGAGAUAACUUUGAGAAGGAACACCAUGUACAAAGGACUGUGCAGAAGAGGGUUGGCAGGAGCCUGGAUCUCUGAUGACUUCACCCUUGACCGCCCACCUCACCAGGCUGUACAAGCCACUGUUACUGGCAGAUGAAUGCAAGUUCUAAAACAUACAACUACUGACCUACUGAAUUUUCCAAGGAGCACAUUUCCACUGGAGACAUUUGGUGCCUGCAGAAAAUACUUACUGAGGAAUUUCUAUGGGACCAGCCUGAAGUAGAAGCCACUGAAGAGAGGCCCUGAAGCAGCUUUUCUUCCUUAUCCCAGAGACCAACAUGGUUACCCCAGCCCAGAGUCACCCUCCUUCCUCUAAGCUGUCAAAACCCUGGCUGCCUUUACAAUGAUUCUGACAAUGAAUCCCACCCUGCUGGUGAUG
rnacentral:lncRNA from 1 species